GAAAAUCAGAGAUGUCCAAUUUUAAUUAGUACGAGAAUUUUUAAACAAUAAACCUAAAAUAAAUCUAUGUGGUUAGAUUCUUAGACCCAAAAUAGACUAUACCGGAGAAUAAAGAGUUAUACAUGAGCUUUCAAAUUUCCAACAGAACACCUAUAACAUUACGGACAACCAGACAUCCCAAUUCUGAGGGAAACAUCUCUUUCUCUCUCUCUUCAUCCCACCAAUAAUGUUGCUCUAAGUGAGUCGGGAAGAAAACAAUAUUUCUCAGCUUCUUAUUUUCUCUUCCAAACACACUUCAUCGAAGUUAAAUUGACUCUGCAAGAUAUAGCUUUUCUCGCCAACACAACAUUUUUUUAAACUUUGAGGAUAUAAACAUAAGAACGUAGCUGGGUGAACAUUUAACUGAGUGCGAAUCCAAAGUCGACCUUCAGUUCGUCAAAAGCUUUUAACACAAAAAAAAAUUUCAGAAAAUGUUUGAGUGUUCUUUUUUUUUUUUUUUUUUUUUUGAACACGUCUGAGUGUUGUUCAAUUUUGCCAGUUUUGUUGAUCACACAACAACGACUGCAUACAAUGCUGUGACACCGAUUAAUAGCCCAAACAUAUCACUUAAUUAGCCACUUGGCAUCUAUACUAUACUAAAAGUUGCAUAUCCUCAAUGCUCAAGCUGUCCACGACAGAUUUUAUAUUCAGACCAAUCAAAAGAUUUCAAAUUACCACGUCAUUUCAUCCUUCGUUCGAUACAUCUUACAACCGGGCCAUUCAUGUGGGCUUUGAAUUGGACCAUUUCAAGCCUAUCUCUCAUCGCAAAUCGUUUCUGACUCUUC
rnacentral:lncRNA from 1 species